GACGAACGCUGGCGGCGUGCUUAACACAUGCAAGUCGAACGGAAAGGCCCUGCUUUUGUGGGGUGCUCGAGUGGCGAACGGGUGAGUAACACGUGAGUAACCUGCUCUUGACUUUGGGAUAACUUCAGGAAACUGGGGCUAAUACCAGAUAGGAGCUCACGCUGCAUGGUGGGGGGUGGAAAGUCUCGGCGGUUGGGGAUGGACUCGCGGCUGACCAGCUUGUUGGUGGGGUAGUGGCUUACCAAGGCAUUGACGGGUAGGCGGCAUGAGAGGGUGACCGGCGACAAUGGGACUGAGAGACGGCCCAGACUGCUACGGUAGGCAGCAGUGGGGAAUAUUGCACAAUGGGCGGAAGCCUGAUGCAGCAGCGCCGCGUGCGGGAUGACGGCCUUCGGGUUGUAAACCGCUUUCGCCUGUGACGAAGCGUGAGUGACGGUAACGGGUAAAGAAGCACCGGCUAACUACGUG
rnacentral:rRNA from 1 species